GAUGAACGCUGGCGGCGUGCCUAAUACAUGCAAGUCGAGCGAACAGACGAGGAGCUUGCUCCUCUGGCGUUAGCGGCGGACGGGUGAGUAACACGUGGAUAACCUACCUAUAAGACUGGGAUAACUUCGGGAAACCGGAGCUAAUACCGGAUAAUAUGUUGAAUCGCAUGGUUCAACAGUGAAAGACGGUCUUGCUGUCACUUAUAGAUGGAUCCGCGCCGCAUUAGCUAGUUGGUAAGGUAACGGCUUACCAAGGCAACGAUGCGUAGCCGACCUGAGAGGGUGAUCGGCCACACUGGAACUGAGACACGGUCCAGACUCCUACGGGAGGCAGCAGUAGGGAAUCUUCCGCAAUGGGCGAAAGCCUGACGGAGCAACGCCGCGUGAGUGAAGAAGGUCUUCGGAUCGUAAAACUCUGUUAUUAGGGAAGAACAAAUGUGUAAGUAACUAUGCACGUCUUGACGGUACCUAAUCAGAAAGCCACGGCUAACUACGUG
rnacentral:rRNA from 1 species